rnacentral:lncRNA from 1 species
CCUCGCCCGGCUAGUUUUUUUGUAUUUUUUUAGUAGAGACGGGGUUUCACCAUGUUAGCCAGGAUGGUCUCGAUCUCCUGACCUCGUGAUCCGUCCGUCUCGGCCUCCCAAAGUGCUGGGAUUACAGGCUUGAGCCACCGCGCCCGGCCGGCCUUUAAUUCUGACUUAGAAAAGUAAGUAUCUGCUGUGUGAUCUUGGGCAAAUUCUAGUUGACAUUCUUUAAAAUGAGAAUAUUACCAAUUUUAAUGUAUUGUCACAUUGUGAUAAUACAUGUAAUGGCUUACCCAGCGCUAUUUCAGAUACAUAGUAAAUGAUUUUUAAAAUGUUAGCAAAUGUAUUUAAGCACAGGGAAACAAACCCAGAAAGAAGAAUGAUUUGACCACAUCAAAACCAAUGACAAAAGUGAAACCUGAGCCUGAAUCUUCUGAUUUUCAAUCCACCAGAGGGUUUUCUCCCAAGGAAGCAAUUCCCAUGCCAAGAAUUGUUUGAGAAAACUGUAACUGGAUUUGCCUACACAUGCAGUAGCAAACUUCAGUGAGCACCUGUCCCUGUUUUGAGGAGCAGGGGAAGGGCACACUUACUCCACACAGGUAGGAAGUGGUUUUCCUCCUCUGUAGCUCUCCUUUCCCCGGCCUUCCAUUGGAGAUCAGAAGGUCUCAGGAAAAUGAGAGAGUAUGGGUCACUAUUUUAUAUUUUCAAGUUUUCAGAUCUUAAUCUGCAAAUUUAGGUGAUCCCAGCUCUGGAAAGAGUAUCGCACUUUUACCUUUUUUUUUUUUUUUUUUGAGACAGAGCCUCACUCUGUCGCCCAGGCUGGAGUGCAAUGGCACGAUCUCAGCUCACUGCAACCUCCACCUCCAGGGUUCACGAGAUUCUCCUCCUCAGCUUCCUGAGUAGCAGGGACUACAGGCGGCGCCACCACGCCUGGCUAAUUUUUGUAUUUUUAGUAGAGACAGGGUUUCGCCAUGUUGGCCAGGCUGGUCUCCUGACCUCAGGUGAUCUGCCCACCUGGGUGUCCCAAAGUUCUGAGAUUACAGCAUGAGCCACCGCGCCGGCCACUUUAGACUUUUUUGACCAGCAAGCUUCCAUCUGGAGCCUAGGCUCUCUUCUUUAGGUGCCCACAGCCCCAGGGGUGCACAGGCUGCUGAGCAGCUGCGGGCCCGCGGGGCUGGGAGCCCACCAGGGCUGCGUGUCCUGUGUGAGGCACAGUCCCGGUCAUCCUAGGAGGCAGCUCUGAGUUCACACCUUCUCGUUCCUCUUUGUCAGAGCUCAGUUAGUGGGUGGGACACUGAAAUGGCACUGCAAACAUAAUGAGAAAAUGAAAACUGUAUUUACCAGAACUGCUUUUAGAGAAAGAGCUGGAGGCAUUGGAGGGAAUUCUUUGAUAAGCUGCUUUGAGACAUCGUGGUGGGGGUGAUACUCUCAUGGGGCAAACCUAAUCUGUAACAGCAAAGGAUCACCAAGCUGCCUUCCAAAAAUGUCCCUGGAUUGCAAGGCUGUAUUUUCCCAAGAGAAUGGAAAUUUGCCCUCAAAGGAGAGUUUGGUCACUGUCCCCAGGAGGCUUCUUCGCAGUCUUUCAACAUUCGGCAUCAAAUCUAUCCG